rnacentral:rRNA from 1 species
UCGGACGGGGUGAGUAACGCGUGAGAACCUGCCUCUUGGCCGGGGACAACAGUUGGAAACGGCUGCUAAUCCCGGAUGAGCCGAAAGGUAAAAGAUUAAUCGCCAAGAGAGGGGCUUGCGUCUGAUUAGCUAGUUGGUAGUGUAAGAGACUACCAAGGCGACGAUCAGUAGCUGGUCUGAGAGGAUGAUCAGCCACACUGGGACUGAGACACGGCCCAGACUCCUACGGGAGGCAGCAGUGGGGAAUUUUCCGCAAUGGGCGAAAGCCUGACGGAGCAAGACCGCGUGGGGGAGGAAGGUUCUUGGAUUGUCAACCCCUUUUCUCAGGGAAGAAGAAAGUGACGGUACCUGAGGAAGAAGCAUCGGCUAACUCCGUGCCAGCAGCCGCGGUAAUACGGAGGAUGCAAGCGUUAUCCGGAAUGAUUGGGCGUAAAGAGUCCGUAGGUGGCCCUUCAAGUCUGCUGUUAAAGAGCGAGGCUUAACUUCGGAAAAGCAGUGGAAACUGGAGAGCUAGAGUGUAGUAGGGGCAGAGGGAAUUCCUGGUGUAGCGGUGAAAUGCGUAGAGAUCAGGAAGAACACCGGUGGCGAAAGCGCUCUGCUGGCUACAAACUGACACUGA